rnacentral:rRNA from 1 species
UACGGGGGGAGCAAGCGUUGUUCGGAUUUACUGGGCGUAAAGGGCGCGUAGGCGGCCAGCACAAGUCAGUUGUGAAAUCUCCGGGCUUAACUCGGAAAGGUCAACUGAUACUGUGCGGCUAGAGUGCAGAAGGGGCAACUGGAAUUCUCGGUGUAGCGGUGAAAUGCGUAGAUAUCAGGAGGAACACCGGUGGCGAAGGCGGUUCUCUGGGCAUGUCCUGACGCUGAGGAGCGAAAGUGUGGGGAGCGAACAGG